rnacentral:lncRNA from 1 species
ACUUAGAAAACCAGACUUGGUUUUUUGAUAUUCACAGGAUUGGUUCAUUUUUCUUUUCCUGCUCCUUUUUCCUGAGAAUGUUGCUGUGUAAUUUUAUAUCAGUACUGAAUAAAACCAAAACAUUUGGUUAGUUAGAGAUUUUCUGUUUGUUUGGGGUUUGGGUUUUUUUUGCUUUAAUUUAGAACCUCAGGAUCCAGCGAGCUGUAGGCCGAUCCAGAGAGGGUAAUGCAUUUCCUCUCAGUUUAAAGCUGCAAGUAAGCCUUCUGGAGGAGGACCAAGCAGCAGUGCAGAAAGAUGGUGUCCCGCAGACAGAAAAAGAAGGCUCUUUCACAGGCUAUCAUUACUCUGCUGCAGUCGUGGUUUUCUCCACCAUCAGUGGUCUUGUUACUGUCGAGUCAGAUGGAACCAUCUGUGGCAUCAAGGAUAGUUUUGCUUUAAUGCUCUUCGGCUAUGAGAAGAAAGAACUGUUGGGAAAGACAGCAGCUUCUUGGCUGCAUCUUUAGCAAGCCUUCUGUCAAGAGAUGAAGAGCAGGAAUUGCAACAAAGACACGAAGACGAUAAAUUAAUACAUGAUGAAACUAAACAAAAGAAUGGGACUGGUUUAUUUUCUACUCUCUCACCUCCUGCAGUGGCAUCCACACCCUCUAAUAGCAAAGACAGCAUUGCUACCAAUGACCUGUCAGCCCACCAUAGAGAGCCUUACCCUGAAACCUGGCUUGACAGAAUCAGAGCAGUGG